CCGCGGUCCCCGCCGAGAGACCUGGCCCGGUGACCGCGGUGUGGCCUCGCACCAGUGCCCGCGGCUGUGAGGAGAGUGCGGUUGGGAGGAAGCCGAACGGGACACAUCUGGAGUGUAAAGCAGGAGAGAUACCUUGCUAUGCAUAAGAAGUGAAAGGAGGCUGCACAGGCAGGGAGUUGCUGAAUCAGCAGAAACCUUGGAGCAGGGAUGCAGCCGUCCCUGCAACCAUGGGCUACAAGGGAGAAGGGCCCUGGAUGCACUGCCCCCACCCCCAUCACUACUCAGAUUCUUUGCACCUACUAUAUGAAAACAUAAGCACCGCCCCUUAAUGAAGUGUCCAGAAGACAAAAAGUAGUAGUUGCCCUAGACAUUGGAAUCAUUGAUUUCCCCAUAAGUCACUCUUCAAUUUCUAAUAAAUGUUCAAACACUAACACUGCACCUGUUUCUGGAUAUCUGUUACUGUUUUGAUUUGGCACAAACUG